AAAAAAAAAAAAAAUUGAUUUCUGGCAUGUGUCUGUACUCUUUAUUGAGCAUAUUUCCCUCUCCAUUCUCCAACAGCAAUCGAAUCACACCAAUAACCAAUCCAAAAAGUUGGCAGCCAUUCUGUCAAAAUUCUUCUCAAAGACAUUUUAAAUUUUAAUAAAGAAAAUAAAGUUGCCUUGGAUGGCAUUUUGCAAGUGCAAUGAUGACUGAAGCAAUCCUCACCCUUUUCUGUUUUUGUCCAAUUUAAUCAUUCAAAAGAGAUCUUAUCAUCUACCCAACGCCAAGCAAUUGAUAAAUUUCGAGCAUUUGACAAAUUGUUUAAGAACAGAACAAUUUCUUUUUGGAGGAAAAAAAAAAAAACAAAAAGGGGAGAGACCGAGAGAGGAUGAGAAAGAAACAAAGAAAGAAAUUUGUCACGGGAAACAAAUUUGAAUUUGUCAUGCUGCUGCACAGCACACACACAGAACACUAGAACAGAAGUCACAAGCUGCCAGCCACUGAGCCACACACACAUAGUCACAUACGCUGCUGCACACAUAGAACUAUAGAAGCCACAAGCUGCACACUGCACAGCACACACAAGUCACAAGCUGCACAGCACACACACUGACACUGUGACACACACGCUGCAAGUGCACAGCACACACACACACACGCUGCACUCAACAAUUCACUCGCAAAGACGCAAACCUAACACACACACACGCUGCCUGUCAGCCACAACUUCACAAAUCACAAACACAAACACAAACAAUGAAACAACUGAACAAGGCAGCCGCAACCCGCAACCCGCAACCCGCAAGUCUGCAACCAGCCACCACAAGACGCGAUCUGUUGCUGCCAACUGCUGAAAUCACGAUCUGUUGCUGCCAAGUGAAGUCGCGACCAGCUGCUGCCAAGUCAAACCCGUCCAGCCGUGAGUCGUGAGCCGCCCGCAUCUCCGAGAUCUGCUGCUGCCAACUCCCAAGUGAAGCCGCGAUCUGCUGCCAAGUGAAAUCCCGUCCGUCCAGCCGUGAGCCGUGGCCACCGAUCUGCUGCUUGAAGGCCGAAUCCUCUCCACCCGAACCCGAUUUUGAAGCUUUCCGGUUUCCACCUUCCACUUUCAAGCUUCAAGCCUUCAACCUUUUGACCCGUUUCCUAAGUGUUUCCUGUUUCGUUUCAUGGUAUAUAUACACUAUAUAAUUAAUUAAUUAUAUAUGCUAAAUAGUUUAUUAUGUAAUUUAGUAAUUGUUUAUUAUUUAAUUGUUGUAAUGAACGAAUUAUGUAUUUAUAAAUAUUAGUAAUAAAAUCAAGGAAAUUUUGUUAAUUAUUGAGCUCACAAGAAAUUAUUUUUUUUCAUAUAUAAAAAGGAAUUGUCGAUUGGUGGGUUUUGUUAAUUGAUAAUUGAUAAUUGUUAAUAAUUGUUAAUAAUAGUUAAUAAUUGAAAUAAUAUUAAUUGAUAAUUGUUAAUAAUUGUUAACAAUAAUUAAUAAUUGAUUUUUUUAUGAAUAAAUUAGCACAUUAGGUAGAUUAAAUAUUAAAAUUAAGUAUUAUGUUGUAUAUGUUUUAUAAUUAUAAUGUGUUUAUGUUAUGUAAUUAUGUGUACUUGUGCAGUAGCGUCAAGCUUUCAACCCUAAACAAAUUAAUAAAUUCAAUUAAUAUUAUAUUAUAUGUUAAUCAUCCGUUAAGUUGUUAAGUACAAGUAACUUGGACUUGAAAUUAAAGGAUUUAAUUUAUAAUAAAAAAUAAGAUAUAGAUAGACAAAUAAUAUCAUAUUAUUUAUUAUGGGAAAUGGGUAAUUGGAUAUUAUAUAUUAUAUUAAAAUUAAGUAUCAUGAAUUUCUUACUUUUUGUUUAUGGAGCAUGAACAACUUGAAUUGAAAUUACUAAUUUUUGUUUAUGGAUUAUGUUAAUAAUAUUUAUGUGUUUUGAUUUUUGAAUUAAUAAUAACAUUUUCUUUUCUUUUUUUAGUUGAAAAUUAGUAAAAAUGACUACAAUUAAGAAAAAUGUCUUAAAACUUUCAUAAAAACUACAAUAAUAGGAAAAAAAAGAGCUCAAAAUUGUAUUAACCGAAUUUGACCCGAAUUGACCCGAAUGGACCCGACCCGAAUUGACCCGAAUUGACCCGAAUUGACCCGAACUGACCCGAAUUGACCCGAACUCAAUCCAACUCAUUUUAAAUCCAACCCGAUCCAACCCGAACAUAACCCGAAUUAUUGACCCGACCCGAACCGACCCGAACUAUGUUCGGGUCGGGUCAAUAAUUCGGGUUAUGUUCGGGUUGGUUCUUGUCUAACCCGAACAACCCGAAACCCGAUCGGGUUGACCCGAACCCGAUUUUGCCCACCCAUACUCAGAGGAGGGUUUGCGAAAAAGAUGAAGAAAUAGAUUUAUGAAUGAGAGGGAGGGAUGAGGGUUUUUUGCAGAGUGUUGCACCAGUUUGUGCAGUAAUCUUUGAAGGUAAGUGUUUGCGAUUUCUUGCGGGAGAAAAGAAAAGCAAAGGAUCUUGGCAUCUUUGAAGAAGAUGAUGAUUUGAACUUGAUGUGAGCAAAUUUGUUGUUUCUUCAUAAGUAGCCAGAGAAAAUGAUACAGGAAAGAGUUAAGUGAAAGAUGGGAAACGAAGAAGUAAAGGGGAAAUAGGCAAGCAAAACGCGCCGUUCCUUGACUUUAGUUGUGAAACGGUGCGUUUUGAGUUUUCGGGGUUUGACCCGGGGCAAACAUCAUUUUCCUAAAGGAAAACACUACACUGGAGUAUCUCUAACCAAUACAACGAAAAGGUUCGAUAAAAAAUAAUGUCAUGUUAGUUGUAUAUGUAUGAUCAAAUUCACACCUUCUUUCACCUGCUGAUGCAGUAAGCCGUAGAAGUGUGAUUGAUCAAUCGACACUAAAUAUUAUAUCUAUACUGUUGGGGAAAAAUAUAGGUUUUUAAAUUUUUAUAAAACCUUUUUAAGAUCGCUCUCAUAUAAUAUAUAAGAAUACGUAAUCUAGAAAUCGUACCUUAAAAAUUCGAUUUGACUUUUUCCGCUGAAGUGAUUUAGGCUCUCAGAUCACGAUCCGUCACCACCACUCCUGUUAGAUCACGAUCCGUCACCACCACGCUUGUUAGAACACGAACUGGCACCAAUGAUCUUCUAGGUUAUGACUCAGGUUUGAUCUGCACUUGACUUGUGGGCGCCUUUAUCACUACCAAAGCAACUAGCAUGAGAAAAUUUUUCUCUCAACAAUAGAGAGAAAAAUCUUUUUCUCUGAUCUGUAUAAAGUGGCUGCUCACCUUUUUCUUUAGAGAAAAUAAGUCUUUUUAUAUCUCCUUUUAGUGAAAACCCUAGGCUCCAAAUAAUGAAAAACAAAACUUACGUUACUUGCUUUUUCUAUAGGGGACCCACCUUGUCAAAUAACAUAAGGCCCCUUACAUACAAGCUAAUUAAAUGGAGCCUCCCACUAAAUGAUAUAUUUAGGCUUUUGACCCAAAUAGCUAGUUAUCUUACUUAUUAAUCCAGUAGUGGUGCAAUCAAUUAAAUGAGCUAACCCGGGGAUCAUUUGGGAACAUACAAUAGUGGCUACAAUAAUUAGGCCUGUAAUUAAACUAGCCUAAUUAUUUAAUUCCAAAUCUACUCCACUAAAAGAUUGGAUCUGACUUCCAUAAUUGUAUGCUCGAAUAAUAAUUCGUCCCAAGCCAUAUUGAUUUCUUUACUGCACAAUCAUUUGUACUACAUCGUUAAUUAAAUUGAUAUCUCAACUGUCCAAUCAAUUUAAUAACAUCUUAUUCCUUGAUACUUACUGGUUUUCUCUAAUGAUCAUUUUCAGAAAAAAUAUUUAUUACAAUUAAAUAAACACAUAUGCUUUUAAAGAGCAUAUUUUCCCAACAAUCUCCCACCAGCUCUUAAAGCAUAUCUGGCAUAUUGCACAUGCUCUAGGGCUCUAAGUGCAGGUUAUAAAGGUUUCCCACUAAUGGUCAUUGUAAUAAGAUCUGCCGUUUAGCAUCUAAUGCCACUUGUGGUACUAUUAUAUAACCUUUCUACACUAUUCCCUUAUAAGAUGAUACUUCCUCUCAAUAUGUUUUUGUUUCUUGUGGUUCCUUAAAUUGAGCUACCGCACCACUAUUAUCGCAAAAUAGUUUAAGGGGUGCAGUUACAACAGGUACCACCUUAAGAUCUUGUAGGAACUUGCGGAGCCAUACAACUUCUUUUGCAGCUUCGGAUGCAGCCACAUAUUCAGCUUCAGUUGUGGAGUCUGCGAUACAAGAUUGUUUCACACUCCUCUAACUAAUAGCUCCACUUCCCAAUGUAAAAACAUAGCCGGAAGUUGAUUUUUUGAAAUCCUUAUUUGACAUAAAGUCAAAAUCAGUAUAACCCACUGGAAUAAGUUCAUCACUAGAAUACACAAGCAUAUAAUUUUUAGUUCUUUUCAUAUACUUUGUAAUAUGCUCGACUGCAUUCCAGUAUUGAGGUCCAGGAUUAAAUUGAUAUCUGCAAACCAUCCAUACCGUAAAAUAGACGUCUGGCCUGGUGUAAAACAUGACAUACAUGAGACUUCCCACAGCUUCUGCAUAGGGAACUCGUCUCAUUCUCUCUAUCUCUUCAGAUAUUUUAGGUGAUUGAUCAUUAGAGAAUGUAAUUCCACGUCUGAAUGGUAAUAAACCAGUAUUGGAAUUUUCCAUGCUAAAUCUAGCCAAUAUCUUAUCGAUAUAGACCGCUUGAGACAAUGCUAAAGUUUUAUUUUUCCGGUCUCGUAGUAACUUGAUACCAAGAAUAUAACUUGCCUCUCUCAGGUCUUUGAUAUCAAAUUGUUUUGCUAACCAACUCUUUAUUGUAGUCAAUACUCCUAUAUCGUUUCCAAUUAGGAGAAUAUCGUCUACAUAAGGAAUUAGGAAGGUUAUAUAUUUUUCUUGAAUUUUCUUAUACACACAUGGUUCAUCAAUGUUCUGAAUGAAUCCAAACGAUUUAAUCGCUUGAUUAAAUCUGAUGUUCCAUGACCGGGAUGCUUGCUUCAAUCCAUAAAUGGAUCUCUACAACUUACAUACCAUGUGUUCUUGGCCUUUUGUAUAAAUCCAUUUGGUUGCUGCAUGUAGAUGUUUUCUUCAAGAUACCCGUUAAGAAAGGCAGUCUUGACAUCCAUUUGCCAAAUUUCAUAAUCUAGCACUGCAGCAAUAGAGAGCAGAAUCCUGAUGGAUUUAAGCAUAGCAACCAGAGAAAAAGUUUCCUCCUAAUCGAUUCCCUCUUUUUGAGUAAACUCUUUGGCUACUAAUAUUGCUUUAAAUAUUUCCACCAUUCCGUCUAGUCCUCUUUUUCUCUUAUAGAUCCACUUGCACCCUAUAGGUUUUACCCCAUUUGGUGCCUCUACAAGUUCCCAGACUUUAUUAGAAUACAUAGAUUCAAUUUCUUAAUUCAUGGCCUUUUUCCAAAAUUCAACAUCUCUAUCUAUUAUAGCUUCGUUGUAACUAGUGGGAUCUUGUACAUGUUCAUCUGAGAUAGCCGUAUAGGUUUCUCCUAAAAACAUGUAUCUCGCAGGUAACCUAGUUACCCUCCCACUACGACGAGGUUCUAAAAGUGAUGGUUGCUCAGGGAUAAUCCUGUGUUGAUCAUUUGGUUGUUGCUGUUCUUCCUGUUUUGUAAUAGGCGUUGAAAGCUGAGCAUCAACCUGAUCACCUUUUUUUAUUUCUCUAGUUUUACCUUACUCUUAGGUAAGAAGUCAUUAUAUAGUCUUCCUCAAAGAAAGUAAAAAAUAUGUCCACAAAUACAUUCCUAUCUUGAGGACUAUAAUUCAGACUUUCCCUUAUUCCAUUAAGAUACCUUAAACAUGCAAGCUUCUGAACACAAAUCCAUCUUCUCUACCUCUGAUUCUAGUAGAAAUACUAGUAAACUCCAAAUACGAAUGUGUCUCAAACCAUGUUUGUGACUUUUUCAUAAUUUCUUAGAGUAGUAGACACUGAGAUAGAUGAAACUAAGUUCAAUAAACUUUGUAGUAUUAAAUAUUAGUAUCUGGAAUCAAAAGGUAAAUGAUAAACCACUUAGUAUAUAUCUUGUUUUAUCCAAAAGAAUCUUGUUUCUCCAUUUAAUUAAACUAUUGUAUCAUAGUGUUCAUUAACAACCAAAUAGUGCUUGAAUUCUCCAUAGAGAUAUUCUUUGUUUCGAUCAUAUCGAAGUUCUUUUAUGUUCCUGUCUAAUUGCUUCUAUCUUAUCCACGUACUCUUUUGAAUUUCAAAAGCAAUGGAAUCAUGACGCAUUUAAACAAACAUAAAUAAAAUGAAUAUUCAUCAACAAGAUUGAUAGAAUAUUCAUAACCUCUUAUAACAUGUAAACUUAUUAGUCCAUAUACAUUUGUAUGCGCUAAAUCAUCAAAUACAAUGUUAUGCUUUUAGCUCUAAACGAGCAUCUUCGUCAUAUUACUUUUCUAAAUAAGAUUUAUAGAGUUACAAUGAUCAAUCUUAAUAGGCCAACAAGUCUAUCAUUAAUCAUUUUCUUAAAAUCUUAUUAUAAUUUAUAUGACUUUAGCAUAAAUAUCAGAGGUGAUUUUGGUUUGAAGAAACAUUUCUUUUCUUAGAUAAAUGCAUAUACUCUUUAUCAUUAUAUCUUGCUUUGAAUAAAUCAAUGGACUUAUAUGAUAUAAAUUGUCUUUAUAAAUAACCAAAAUAAAUAAUAAACAGAGGAUAAAAAAAUAACAGUGUACUCCUGUUUAUUAAACAAGUCACCGAAAUUAAAUUCCUCUAAUAUUUGGAAAAAUAAAGACAAAUAUCAAAACUUUAAGUCUUGUAAAAUUGAUCUAGCCUUUCAAUUGAUAUAAACUAGCAUGUCAUCAACUACUGUUUGAAGCUUUCUUCACUUAAUCUCUUGGUUUCCUGAAAACCAAAUAAAUGAAUUACAAAUAAGAUUAGUUAUCUCAGAAUUCAUUAUUGUAUGAAUCUAUAGAAAUCUUUAGGAAGCUUAAAGAUUUCUUAUACCUGAUUUUAAUAAUUUUAGGACAAUCUUUCUUCCAGUGACCAUUCUGUCCACAUUUGUAACACUUGCCUUUUGGCUUGCCACUUCUUUUAGUGGACAGUUUGCCGAUCCCAACUCUUGCUUGCUCAUUCUUGUCUUUCGACUUAAGCCUUAAAGAGAAUCCUUUUUCAGGAAAUUUUCUGCUAUGAUAAAAUUCUUUUAUAGCAUGUAGUUCGUACAUUAAUUCAAUUAAGGUCAUAUCUUUAUUGUUUAAGAUAUAGCUGACCUUAAACUCUUUGAAUGUAUCAGGUAAAGAUUCAAUCACCAUGUUAAUCUUUGGUUUAUCAUUUAUUUGAACACCAUGAAUCUCUACCUCAUUCAAAUAUUCCAUCAUUUUGAGGACAUGAUCCCGAACUUUUGUGCCCUCUUCCAUCUUAGUAUCCGUAAUACGUUUUAAUGCUGCUUCUCUAGCAAAAUGAGUAUUUUUUCCAAACAUCUGAUGAAGACUAGCCAUUAUUCCAAUGGUUGUUUCCAUGCUCCGAUGUUUCUUAUGUCGUUCCACAGAAAUCGAAGCCAAUAUAUAGCGCUUAGUCAUUUUGUUAGCUUCGCACCAUUUCUCAUAAGGCUCAUUCUGAUUUCUAUAAUCGUAUAGCGAUGGUUCAGGAGGACAAGGCUGGGUCAACACAUAUUUGCAGCCCUUAGCAGUGAGAAUAUUAAAUAGAUUGUGUUUUCAAUCUAAAUAAUUUUCGCCAGUGAGUUCAUUUUAACAAAGAUAAUUAAUAAUGGGUUGAUGGAAGACAUUUUCUAAAUAAAAAAAAUGCACAUGCAUAAAUACUUUGAAACAAAAUUCACAAUAAAUGACAAAAAUACAAAAAAACAUAAAUGCAUUUUAAUUUAUUGUAACGAUAAUCUAGUACCGCUUUGACAAGCUAUCCGUUGGGGAAGUUACGUCUAUAUUUACUAGACCCAAUUAUCCAUUGGAUUAUUUACUUUCAUGUAGAGACAUGAUAAAUAAUUAUUGUUAUCCCUUUGGGCCUAAAUUUGUUAACAGAGCUUCGUUGGGAAGGUUAAUAAUAAAUUUUAGUUGAGUGUAUAACCAUUGUUUCAAUCUACGUAUUUUUCAUAUCAAUAGUCACCGUUGGGGUGAACAAUUGAUUGAAAAAAUAUUUCAAUUUUAUCUUUGAAGAAGUUCAUCAAAUAAAAUAUCUAAUAUAUAUACCCUCCGUAUGGAGCAUCACCGUAUCAUGAAGUCGAUGUAUAUAUAUAAUUUUAUUAUUGAACUAACAAUGGAGCCCGUGGGAAAAAUUAUCUUGAAUUUUCCCUCUCCCACUCAAUAUUUUAAAAAUUGGUUUUUCCUUUUUAAAACAUACAUAUUGUUAAUUGCAUGCUUCCUAUAAUAUUAUUUAGAUGAUAUCCAAUAUUAUUAAGCAAUCGCAAAUUACAAACAAUCUAGCGAGAUUCAUAAUUAAUGAAUGACAUGUUAUCAUGGCAUGUUUUCAUCCAAAACAUAACAUAUAGAAAAAUAAUUAAAUAAUCUUAAUUCAUGGCUUUCCUAAUAAUGAAAAAUACAUUAACCCUAAGCCUAAUCUUCAUUGGGCUUCUUGUCAAUGUCCAUCUUCCAUAAGCUUGUCUUUAAUGAACUAGGGGAAAUUGGGCUUUUAAAUUUAUAAUUGGUCCAAUUUUAAUUUUGAAAAGGAACAGGACACAAGGGAAAUAAAUAAAUAAAUAAAUUUAUUAAAGGGAAAAGGACAAACACACCCCCAACGUUUAGGUAAAGGGACAAAAACCUCCCUAAUGUUUUAAAAAAGACAUUUACACCAUAAUUUAUUAUAAUUUUACCAUUACCCUUCUAGCAUAUAAAAAAAUUAUUAGAUUAUCCAAUUUGACUAUAUAUUGUUAAUAAAAUUAUAAAUAUACUCUCAUUGCCUCAUUCCUCUAUUUAAAUUUUUAUCAAUAAUCAAUUUUAAAGAAAGACAUCUACACACUUGAAAAAAAUUGUAAAUAAAUUAUAAUUUAUAAAAAAUUGGUUAUGAAUACCAUAAUAAAUAACAUAGAAAAUUGGUUAUAAAUGUACAAUUUUAAAUGAUUGACAUGUGGAGAAUUGUUAAAUAUACAAGUUUAAAGUUUAAAUAAAAUUAGUUAUUAAUAACCAAUUUUAUUUUUUAAAUUAUAAUUUUUUUACAAUUUUUUUAGGUGUAUAGAUGUAUUUUUAAAAAAUUGGUUAUUGAUAAAAAUUUAAAUAGAGGAAUUUGGCAAUGAGGGUAUAUUUAUAAUUUUUUUUUAUAAUAUUCAAUUUGUCUAUUUAUAAUUUUAUUAACAAUAUAUAGACAAAUUGGAUAAUCUAAUAAUUUUUUUUAUAUGCUAGAAGGGUAUAAUGGUAAAAUUAAAAUAAAUUGGGGUGUAAAUAUCCUUUUUAAAACAUUAGGGGGAAUUUUGGUCCCUUUACCUAAACGUUGGGGGUGUGUUUGUCCUUUUCCCUUUAUUAAAAUAAAACUUUUGGACCAAAAAUAAAUUUAAUGUAUUCAAUUUUAUCUAUGCAUUUUAAACCAUUAAGCCCUAUUGAAAUUGGGGCUAAAGCUAUGAUUCAUUAAGCCCAAAACUAUUUUUGGACUUAAAUGCAAAAAAUUUAAACGUGUCUGCCCAAAAGAAAAAACUACGGAGCCAUAGGGACCUCAAUGAUAGAAACCAUUGAAACCCUAAAUCCAUCUUUUUCUCUUUCCUUUCUUCCCCAGCCGCCAUCUCCAAAAAAACAGCCAUUGUUCGCUAUUUUUGCACCAGACAGCCGCGCCAUUAACGCUGGAAACAAACCAACCCUGCGCGCGAUGCUUGCUGGAGCGCACGCUGCUGUUGCGUACGAUGCUACUGCGCGCGCCGCUAGCCAGGCUGGCUACGCGCAUCGCUUGCUGCCCGCAGCGCGCGCUGCUAGCAGCGUGUGCUGCCUGCUGCAUGCAUUGCCAACAUGCGCUUGCAGCUUGUACUGCACAUUGGCUGCAGCGAGUGCGCUGGUCGGUGGUCGCUAUUGAAAUUUUCGGCCUCCGUCGCUUUGAGCUCGUUUUCCAGUGAUGAUUUUUCAGUCAUUUACAAAUUUUCUAUGCCAAUUUUUGGCUUACAAAAUUUCCAUUAUAGUAAAAUAAAUCAGGAGGGAAACAUGGUGAUGAAAAACCACUCCUCUUGUUAUAGAUCCAAACAAAAAAUACAGCAGAAAAUCUAACCAUGAAUUAAGACAAACCAAAACAUGCUUUAUUCAUAUAUUAAACAAAUAAUAUAUAUCUGAAUAAAUUAUGCUACUCUAAUACAUAAAUUUCAAAAAUGAUUUCAUACAAUAUUCUUAUAUAUUAAUAUGGGAUGGCUCUAAUACCAAUUGUUAGGGAAAAAUACAAGUUUUUAAAUUUUUAUAAAACCUUUUUAAGAUCGUUCUCAUAUAAUAUAUAAGAAUACGUAAUCUAGAAAUCGUAUCUUGAAAAUCCGAUUUGACUUUUUCCGCUGAAGUGAUUUAGCUCCCAGAUCACGAUCCGUCACCACCACUCCUGUUAGAUCAUGAUCCGUCACCACCACGCUUGUUAGAACACGAACUGGCACCAAUGAACUUCUAGGUUAUAACUUAGAUUUGAUCUGCACUUGACGUGUGGGCGCCUUUAUCACUACCAAAGCAACUAGCACGAGAAAAUUUUUCUCUUAACAAUAGAGAGAAAAAUAUUUUUCUCUGAUCUGUAUAAAGUGGCUGCUCACAUUUUUCUUUAGAGAAAAUAAGUCUUUUUAUAUCUCCCUUUAGUGAAAACCCUAGACUCCAAAUAAUGAAAAACAAAACUCACGUUACUUGCUUUUUCUAUAAGGGACCCACCUUGUAAAAUAACAUAAGGCCCUUUACACACAAGCUAAUUAAAUGAAGCCUCCCACUAAAUGAUAUAUUUAGGCUUUUGACCCAAAUAGCUAGUUAUCUUGCUUAUUAAUCCGGUAGUGGUGCAGUCAAUUAAAUGAGCUAACAUGGGGAUCAUUUGGGAACAUACAAUAGUGGCUACAAUAAUUAGGUCUGUAAUUAAACUAGCCCAAUUAUUUAAUUCCAAAUCUACUCCACUAAAAGAUUGGAUCUAACUUCCAUAAUUGUAUGCUCGAAUAAUAAUUCGUUCCAAGCCAUAUUGAUUUCUUUACUGCACAAUCAUUUGUACCACAUCGUUAAUUAAAUUAAUAUCUGAACUGUCCAAUCAAUUUAAUAACAUCUUAUUCCUUGAUACUUACUGGUUUUCUCUAAUAAUCAUUUUCAACAUACUAAAUAUGUUGACACACUCUGGCCAGAGAAUUCUAUGAUCAAGUGCCGAAAACUCAUCAAGAGAUGUGUUGUACAAAUUCUAUAUUGUUAAUCUAUAACUCCAAUACUCAUAAAUGCUCCCACCAAGAUACCGGGUAAUCUAGACUACAAGUAUGUGUCAUGCCCAUUGGUAACCCAAAUGGAAUAACAAUUACAAUCAUGAAAUCAUAAUUAAUUCAAGAUUAAGAUUACAGUAAAAUCAAUGCCUAUGAGAUUUAAUAAGUCUGACAGUUAUUACAAAGUUAAUUAAAUCUCAUAUGUGAUCCUAUUCAAUGUAGUCGUACUACAUCAAUAAAUUCAUACAUGAUUAAGACAAAUCAUUCAAUGAAUUUAUUACAGUCUAUACCUAAAUAAAGUGUCCAACUUUAUUUAUCAACUGCGAACUAAAUUUAUUUAAUCAUAAGAUAACUUGUAUUUAUGUCUUAUGUGAAUCCACAUGGUGAUCACAUAAAUACAUAUAAUAUGAUUAAAUGGACUUUAAUAAAAAUAUUAAUGCAAUUAAGAUAUUUGAAUAAAAUACCUCAUUAAUUUUAUUAAUCAGAAAAAAUAUUUAUUACAAUUAAAUAAACACAUAUGCUUUUAAAGAGCAUAUUUUCCCAACAAUCUCCCACUAGCUCUUAAAGCAUAUCUGGCAUAUUGCACAUGCUCUAGGGCUCUAUGUGCAGGUUAUAAAGGUUUCCCACUAAUGGCCAUUGUAAUAAGAUCUGCCGUUUAGCAUCUAAUGCCACUUGAGGUACUGUCAUAUAACAUUUCUACACUAUUCCCUUAUAAGAUGAUACUUCCUCUUAAUAUUUUUUUGUUUCUUGUGUUUCCUUGGUUCCUUAGAUUGAGCUACCGCACCACUAUUAUCGCAAAAUAGUUUAAGGGGUGCAGUUACAGCAGGUACCACCUCAAGAUCUUGUAGGAACUUGCGGAGCCAUACAGCUUCUUUUGCAGCUUCGGAUGCAGCCACAUAUUCAGCUUCAGUUGUAGAGUAUGCGAUACAAGAUUGUUUCACACUUCUCCAAAUAAUAGCUCCACUUCCCAAUGUAAACACAUAGCCGGAAGUUGAUUUUUUGGAAUCCUUAUCUGACAUAAAGUCAUAAUCAGUAUAACCCACUGGAAUAAGUUCAUCACCAGAAUACACAAGCAUAUAAUUUUUAGUUCUUUUCAUAUACUUUAUAAUAUGCUCGACUGCAUUCCAGUAUUGAGGUCCAGGAUUAAAUUGAUAUCUGCAAACCAUUCAUACCGCAAAAUAGACGUCUGGCCUAGUGCAAAGCAUGACAUACAUGAGACUUCCCACAGCUUCUGUAUAGGGAACUCAUCUCAUUCUCUCCAUCUCUUCAGAUGUUUUGUAUGGAAACGUGAUGUCUUAUUAACAAAAAAAGAAAAAAAGAAAAAAAGAUUAUUCUCGGAAACUAACAUAGGUUAUUUUGUUUUCUAACAUUAAGUUUAAUUUUAAGGAGUAAAAUUCAUUGUUCCUGUAAUCUUCUAUUUUUCUUUUUAUAAUUCUUAAUAAAGCUUCUCCCCUUUGCCGAAGUUGGACAAAAAAAAAAAACUCUGAUAGUCAAAUUAUUUGUGUAAAUACAAAUAUUUUACUAAUUAAGGGCAUGUGUCUUUAAUUAGAAAACUUAAAAGAUAAUUGGCUAUGCAUAUCAUUUAUUAAUUCUUCCAAAAAUAUCAUAAGCUAACAAUUCCGGAGAAUAUCUACCGUCUGCAAGUUGAUUUUUGUAGCUUUUCAAUUGUUAGGAUGGCCUAUGUUUUCCAACAACCGAAAACUAAAGCCAGCUUGCUACCAUUUCCUUUGUCGCACAAACUAAUCACAUGCUCAAUCGAAGGUGUGGGGAAAAAAUUUGCCUUCUUGGUGCUUGAAUUAAUGUACAUUUUUUUUUUCAAAAUGCAAACGUUGCCUAAGAUGGUAAUUAACAUGUAAGAUAGAUUGUUACAUUUUUCUUAAUCUUUGGUUUGAUAUUCUGGACGAAAACGGUUUGCCGUUUCUUGAGAAAACGGCUAAUCGUUUAAGUCCAGAGAGCAUGUUUUUGUUCUGGGAUAAAAUGGCUCACCAUUAUUGAGAAAACGGCUAACCGUUUAACUCCAGAGAGAAUGUUUUAUGUUCUAGAGAAAAAACAGCUCACCGUUAUUGAGAAAACGGCUAACCGUUUAUUUACAGAAAACAACGUAUUUGACAUUCUGGAAUAAAACAGCUCACCGUUUAUUGAGAAAACGGCUAAGCGUUUAUUUCCAGAAAUGCGUCAACUGGAAAACGGUUAAGCAAGUUUGAAAUUUAAUUGUCAAUCAAUGCAAAUUCAAACCAAAAGAGUGUCUUUGAAGAAGCACCAUUUCGAAUGGUUGUAUUCUUUUAAAUAAACAUCUUCUUCAUUAAAAGAAAGAUAUACAAUUAGAUUUAUAAUUAGUUUUUACAGAUUUCAUAUAAGUUCUGGAAAUACAAUCUUAUUUGCUAAAGAUUGUAUUCAGGAUUUGAUAUAUCUUGGGUGUAAUUUGCCAUUAAACUCUAUAGCAAAUCAAGAUUGGUGAGGGCAAAUAAAACCUUAAAGGAAAGUGUGCAAACACGUCUCAAAUCCUAAGAAAUUGUCUCUAUUCUUUGCCUCCAUAUUAUUAAAUUCACCAACAAUCUUUAAGGUUUUAUUUAAAUGGAGGCUGAGAAGAGUUUGACAUCUUUUCUGAAUCCUAGUGUUCAUCUCGAUCAUUUUGAUGGAACUAAUUUCACUCGUUGGAAGGGAAAAUUGUUCUUUCUCCUUACUGUUCUUAUAGUGGCAUAUGUUCUAGAUUCGAAAUUGGAACCAUUUCCAGAACCAAGAGAAGAUGAUACCGAAGUUGUUAAGGCUGCAAGGAAACGUCGUGAAGAUGAUGAAUUGAUGUGCCGGGGUCAAAUACUCAAUACACUUUCUGACAGGUUAUACGAUCUCUACAAUUCUAUGACUUCUCCGGUGGAAAUUUGGAAUGUUCUUGAGUACAAAUACAAAACGGAGAAAGAAGGUACUGACAAAUUCCUUGUAUCUAAAUAUUUUGAAUUUAUUAUGGUAGACACAAAAUCUAUUCUUGAUCAAAUACAUGAGUUACAAAUUAUUGUUGCUAAGCUUCGAGAGUUAAAAGUUGAAAUUUCUGAAUCAUUUCAAGUUGGGGCUAUUAUUGCUAAAUUGCCUCAAAGUUGGAAUGAUUAUAGAAAGAAACUCCUUCAUAGUAAAGAGAACAUAACUUUAGAAGAAUUGCAAAAACACUUGGUAAUUAAAGAAGAGACUAGGUCUCGCGAAUCCAAGGAUAAGCAUGAUUCUACUAAAGUUAAUGUUGUUGAAGCUAGUAAAUUCUCAAAGAAUUUUAAAGUCAAGAAUGACAAGAAAUUCAAGAAGUCCAGCACACAAAAGUUUUCUGGAAAUUGUUUCUUUUAUGGUAAGAAAGGCCAUCGCCAAAGUGAUUGCAAAUUCAAGAAGAAAAAUGAAGAAGUGAAUUCCCAUAAAGCUAAUGUUAUUGAAAACAAAUCUGAAGAGAUUUGUGCUAUGGUUUCUGAAAUGCAAAUUGGCAUGAUUACCGAAACCAAUAUGGCUGAAACUAAGUCCUAUGAUUGGUGGCUCGAUUCGGGUGCAACAAUUCAUGUUUGUAAUGAUAAGAAAUUUUUCUUAUCAUACAAAGAAGAAACGGAAUGACAAAUGGUUCUCAUGGGGAACAAUAAUGCAGCCAUAGUAGCAGGGAAAGAAGUAGUUGAGAUCAACUUCACUUCUGGAAAGAAAGUCACAUUGUAUAAUGUCUUUCAUGUACCUUCCGUUAGAAAGAAUCUUAUUUAUGCUAGUUGUAUGUGUAAGCAUGGGCUUAAGAUUGUGCUUGAGGGUAAUACUUGUAUUGUCUCAAAGAAUGGAUUAUUUGUUGGGAAAGGGUAUUCUUGUGAUGGAAUGUACAAACUCAGCAUAAAUAAUAAUAAUAUCAACUUAGCUUAUAUUGUUGAGUCUUGUGAUAUUUGGCAUGCUAGAUUAGCACAUUUGAACUUUAGAUCUUUGAAAUACAUGUCUAAGCAUGGUUUGAUUAAUUGCAAUGAUGUUAAAGGUCAUAAGUGUGAAAUCUGCAUCCAAGCUAAAUUAACUAAGAAACAUUUUCCUAAAGCUGAACGAAAUACUCAAAUAUUGGAUUUAAUACAUACCGAUAUUUGUGAGUAUAAUGGCAUGUUAACAAGAGGAGGUAAGAGGUACUUAAUCACUUUUAUUGAUGAUUGUUCUAGAUACACUUAUGUGUAUUUACUUAGAACAAAAAAUGAAGCUUUUGAUAAAUUUAAAAUUUUCAAAGCUGAAGUUGAGAACCAAAAAGAUAAGAAAAUCAAAAUGGUUCGUAGUGAUAGAGGUGGUGAAUAUUUCUCAAUUGAAUUUAAUAAUUAUUGUGAAGAAUUUGGAAUUAUUCACCAAAGAUCAGCUCCAUUUACUCAUCAACAAAAUGGUUUGGCUGAAAUGAAGAAUAGGAUUUUCACGGAUAUGAUAAAUUCCAUGAUCCUUAAUGCAAAACUACCAAAUAAUUUGUGGGGGGAAGCAUUACUCAUUGCAUGUCAUAUUCAUAACAGAAUUACAUCUUUGAAAACACAUAUAUCUCCUUAUGAAAUUUGGAAAGGAAGAAAACCAAACUUGAUGUAUUUAAGAGUCUGGGGUUGUUUAGCUUUUUAUAAAAUACAUGAUCCUAAGUCAUCAAAGUUGAGUGCUAGAGGUAUAAAAAGUGUUUUCGUAGGAUAUGCUGAAAAUUUCAAGGCUUAUAGGUUGUUAGAUUUAGAUUCUAAUGUGAUUGUGGAAUCUAGAGAUGUUGAGUUUAUUGAGAAUAAAUUUCAACUUGAUUCUAAUAUUGAAUUAGAAUCAAUUAUUGAUCAACCAUGUGUUAAUACUCUUGUUACCUCCACUAACAAUAAUAAAAGGAAAGAGUCUAUGACAUCUUUCGAACCAAAGAGGAGUCAACGUGAAAAGAAAGAAAAGAGUUUAGCUCCGGAUUUUAUUUCAUCACAAGCACUACUCUUCUUGGUUGAAGGGGAUAGAAAGAAUGUACUUAACAAAGUACCAUUGUUGUUAAAUAUUGAAAAAGAUCCAAAGACAUUUAGCGAAGCUAUGUCUUCAAGAGACGCUUCCUUUUGGAGAGAGGUGGUAAAUGAUUAAAUGGAUUCGAUUAUGUCGAAUCAAACAUGGGUCUUGGUUGAUCUUCCUCCAGGAUCUAAACCAAUUAGCAGCAAAUGGGUAUUUAGAAUAAAGUACAAUAGUGAUGGUUCUUUGCAAACUUUUAAGGCUAGAUUAGUAGCCAAAGGGUUUAAGCAAAGAAAUGGGAUGAUUAUUUCGAUACAUAUGCUCCGGUAGCAAGGUUAACUUCUAUAAGAGUGCUAUUUGCAAUUGCUUCAUUGAACAAUUUGUAUGUGCAUCAAAUAGAUGUUAAAACAGCUUUUCUUAAUGGUGAUCUUGAUGAAGAAAUCUAUAUGGAACAACCUGAGGGAUUUGUUUUGCCAGGAAAUGAGAAAAAGGUAUGCAAGUUAGUCAAAUCUCUUUAUGGUUUAAAGCAAGCACCAAAACAAUGGCAUGAGAAGUUUGAUUCGGUAAUUUUAUCUCAUGGUUUUAAGCAUAAUAAUGCUGAUAAAUGUAUAUAUUUUAAAUUUACGAAUGAUUUUGGUGUGAUUAUAUGCUUGUAUAUUGAUGACUUGCUUAUCUUUGGAACAAAUAUGCAAGGAGUAGAUGAUACAAAGAAGUAUUUAACUUCACAGUUUAAGAUGAAAGAUCUUGGUGAAGUAGAUAUUAUCUUAGGUGUCAAAGUGAAUAAACAUAGUGGGGGUUACUCGUUGUGUCAAUCUCAUUAUAUAGAGAAAGUGCUUCUUAAAUUCAAUUAUUUGAAAUUUAAAGAAGCUAAUACCCCAUAUGAUUCUAGUAUUAAAUUACUAGAGAAUUCAGGCCGAGUAGUAGCACAACUAGAAUAUGCUAGUGCUAUUGGUAGCUUGAUGUAUGCUAUGCAUUGUACGAGGCCUGAUAUAGCAUUUGCAGUUUGCAAAAUGUCAAGAUUCACGAGUAACCCUAGUGUUGAACACUGGAAAGCAAUUGGUAUGAUACUUGGUUAUCUUAAAAGGACCAUUAAUUUGGGUUUGUUUUAUAAUGAUUAUCCUGAAGUACUGGAAGGAUAUUCAGAUGCUAGUUGGGUAACCAAUACAAGAGUUAAUAAAUCCACUUCUGGUUGGAUUUUUACAAUUGCUGGAGGAGCGGUUUCUUGGGCUUCAAAGAAACAAACGUGCAUAACUCAUUCAACAAUGGAAAGUGGGUUUAUAGCACUUGCAGCUGCAGGCAAAGAAGCAGAAUGGCUGAGAAAUUUGUUGUUUGAUAUAAUGUUGUGGCCACAACCGAUGCCAUCUAUUUCUUUGUACUGCGACAGUGAAGCUACAUUGUCUAGAGCUUAUAAUAAAGUGUAUAAUGGAAAGUCUAGACAUAUUAGCUUGAGACAUGAAUAUGUGAAACAAUUAAUAGCAGAUGGUGUUAUUAAUAUUGUUUAUGUUAUGACUAAUAAGAACCUAGCAGAUCCUUUAACAAAAGGUCUUUCAAGAGACUUAGUUAAGGAUACAUCUUUUGGAAUGAGAUUGAAACCUUUGCAUAAUAAAGUCACCAACGACGGUAACCCAACUAUGUAGUAGUUGUACCGUUACUCCAUAGUUAAAUGGGUAAUAACAAGUUGUUAUGUGACUGGUUUGGCACCGAGUAAUAAAUAAUCUCAUUCGAGAGUUUCGAUGUAAAUAGCUACGAGGUUGAGGUUGAGUAUUUACUCUUAAUGAAGUUCAAGUCUUAUAGUAGCUAAAGACAUGAUUUGAAACUUCACCUAAGUGAACAUAAGAAAUGGUGUUGUUUCUAACAAGAUCAUGGUUUAAUCUUGUAAAUGUUCAUGAAUCCAAGAUAGAGCACAAGGCCGGAAUAGUGCUAACUAUUGGAACACAAUUUUGAAAUCUGGGAUAGCUUAUAUGUGAUGUAUCUCCGGUAUUUACUUAAGAGACAAAGUUUAAUGCUUAGCACACUAUUGUCUUGUAAAUACUUUGAAAUACACUCACUAAUUAAAGGUUAAAAUCGAAAGAUACCUUUUUGUAUGUAUAAGUUUAUCAUUAAUAAAUCUGAAAAAAAUAUUACAAUCUAGUGGGGAUUGUAAGAGAGAUUGUUACAUUUUUCUUAAUCUUUAGUUUGAUAUUCUGGACAAAAACGGUUUGCCGUUUCUUGAGAAAACGGCUAACCGUUUAAGUCCAGAGAGCAUGUUUUUGUUCUGGGAUAAAACGGCUCACCGUUAUUGAGAAAACGGCUAACCGUUUAACUCCAGAGAGAAUGUUUUAUGUUCUAGAGAAAAAUGGCUCACCGUUAUUGAGAAAAUGGCUAACCAUUUAUUUACAGAGAGCAACGUAUUUGACAUUCUGGAAUAAAAUGGCUCACCGUUUAUUGAGAAAACGGCUAACCGUUUAUUUCCAGAAAUGCGUCAACUGGAAAACGGUUAAGCAAGUUUGAAAUUUAAUUGUCAAUCAAUGCAAAUUCAAACCAAAAGAGUGUCUUUGAAGAAGUACCAUUUCGAAUGGUUGUAUUCUUUCAAAUAAACAUCUUCUUUAUUAAAAGAAAGAUAUACAAUUAGAUUUAUAAUUAGUUUUUACAGAUUUCAUAUAAGUUCUGGAAAUACAAUCUUAUUUGCUAAAGAUUGUAUUCAGGAUUUGAUAUAUCUUGGGGGUAAUUUGCCAUUAAAACUCUAUAGCAAAUCAAGAUUGGUGAGGGCAAAUAAAACCUUAAAGGAAAGUGUGCAAACACGUCUCAAAUCCUAAGAAAUUUUCUCUAUUCUUUGCCUCCAUAUUAUUAAAUUCACCAACAUAACAUGCAUCAUGUUUGCUAUCGUUAUUGAUUUUUCUUGUUUUCUUUAAUUAUUUUUCUAGAAUUUUAGGUCUCUACUCCUCAUCAAUUUAAUUUCGUAACAAUAAAAUUACCUUAUAUACUUGAAAUAGACUUUCCAAAUUUUAGAAAAACACGUUCAAAUUUCGAAUUCCUAAUAAUCUUUUUUGUGGGAUGCUAUGAGAUAUUCUCGUAGCUCACUAAUUUUGUAAGAGGCAUUAAGCGUGACAUGCCUAGAUAGUAGUUCAACAAUUAAGAAUUUGAGAACUUAAGUUUUAACUUAAUUUGAAUGGAAUUUGUUAUACUCUCAGGGAGUGUGUUUAAAUAUCAUCAUGAAGUGCGAGCACAAUUAGAUUGAUCUAGAGUUAGUUUUUAGUAGUUUCUAAAAAGUAAAAUUAAUAUUACUAUAAAUGACAUUGAUUAAUUGAUUGUCACUUCCUCGCUUCACUCUUUAGGGAAUUAGAGUAAAGAUUGGAGUCCUUUUGUGUGCAUAUUUAUAAAUAAAUUUGAUCUAUUUUAAAUCCAAAUAUCUUUUCUACACUAUUAUAAAACUAUCAUAUUAUUUAGAACAUCAAACUCAUAUUAAUUCAAGCUAACCAUAUAAAUGAUCCCAAGAAAUAUAUUUGCCAACCAAAUUGUAAGUAGGAUUCUAUUAAAAAGCUUUCAAAUUAAUUCUUAAAAAAAUGAAAAAGGUAGAAGGGUAAACAACAAUACUUUCAACAAGCUACCAUAUAUAUAUAUAUAUAUAUAUAUAUAUAUAUACACAUUAUUAAUUAAUUUUGAGAUCUUAAAGCACUUUCCCCGUACAACGACACAACGUGUUGUAAAAUCAAGCUAAAACAACACAACAAAAAACUUCGACCCUCAUUCAAUGAAAGUAUGAAACGCCAGUGCAAAUUUUGUCAUAUUUUUGGGGGCCACCGCCAAUUUGCAUCGUUUCCCCUGUUCUUUUGGAUGCUCGCUGGCAAACAAGUGGGUCGAAUUAAAAAACUAAUAUUAUUAUCAUUUCAUAUCUAAAAAUAAAUAUUAAAAAAAGCAUUAUUAUUUAACAACCCAUUAUUCCCUUUCGAUCAAAACUAUACAUAAAAUACUAAAUAUCAAGCAGCAACCAUUAAUAUAUUGAGAAUAUAAAUAAUUAAAAAGAAAAAAAACAGCACACUGGUUUCAGUUUUUAUAUAUCACAUAUGCACAGCAAGAUUGACACUUCUAUCCUAUUUUACCUAACAGGGUUAAAGAUCCACAUGGCUUUACCAAUGAGUGAAAGCGAAACAAGGACAAUUAAUCAAAUAAUAAUUAACUUCUCUUUUAUUUGGACUCUUUGGUCAAAGCAAUGAUGUAAGCUUCGCUCUAUAUACUAAGCUUAUAACCUAAGCUGUCCAGCAAAUUAAACAUACACUUCAAUCACAAGGUUUCUUGUUUUUGUAGUAGUUUCAUGGCAGUUUGAGUUUCUAUCUCUUCUUCCAAACCCUAGCUUAUAUAAUCAAACACUCGCAGUCUCUCUCUCUCUCUCUCUCUCUCUGGCUAGCUAGCUUAGCAACAACAUGGCUGCAGGCUUGGGAGCCAAGAGCAACAACAAUACUGACCCUCAAAACCAAAAAACUCUUGCGGAUUUUGAUCCCCAAAAGAAACCAAAAAGAAAUCUGUAUGCCUCCGGCGCUGCCAUUUUGGCUUCCAUGACUUCAAUCUUACUAGGUUAUGGUAAGUUAACUUUACAAGAACCCUUUCUUGUAUCUAUUAGUUUGCUUUAUAUCGUGAUUCACGAAACAUGCAUCAUGGAGAUGGAAGUAAUAAGGUUUCUUUGUGAAGAAAAUCUUCUCAGAAAGUGGAUAAGUUUUGUGUGGGUGUUAGUCGGUUUAACAGGAAAAAAAACUGUUUAAAUUAGUAUAAGAAAUUAAGAGUUCGAAUAUCUCUGUCAUAAGAUUUUAUUUCAUGCAUGCGUAAUUGGUUCUGCAUGCAUUAAUUAAUUAAUAUUAUAUUUUUUUUUGGUGUUCUUUUCUUGUAGACAUUGGAGUAAUGAGUGGAGCUGCACUCUACAUCAAAGACGACUUUAAAGUCAGUGACACAAAAAUCGAGAUCUUAAUUGGAAUCUUGAAUAUUUACUCACUCUUCGGCUCACUGGCCGCCGGCGUAACCUCCGACUGGAUUGGCCGCCGGUACACUAUCGUGUUAGCCGGGGCCAUCUUCUUCGCCGGAGCGCUGCUCAUGGGGUUUGCCACAAACUAUGCUUUCCUCAUGGGGGGUCGCUUCGUCGCCGGCGUCGGCGUCGGAUACGCUGCAUUGAUCGCUCCCGUAUACACAGCUGAACUCUCUCCGGCUUCCACUCGAGGCUUUCUCACCUCAUUUCCUGAGGUUUGUGCUUCUUCUUCUUGUUUUUGGAAAUAGCUUUCUUGUUUCUUAAAACAGAAACAAUUUUGAACGGAUGAUACUUUUACUUUCCAAAGUUUUGAAAUACAACCUUCAAACACUCGAAUGAGUAACGGUAUAAAUGCGUUUCUCUCUUUUUGUAUUUUAAGAUUUUAUCCUCUAAAUCCGUGACGUAUUAAUUAAACAAAGUAAUCUCUAAUCUCCUCACUAGUGUUAGGACCUAUCUUAAAAACCAAGCUAAUAUUUGAUACUUAACUAAAAUAUAAUAAACUAUAAGGGAUUAAUUGAUAUUAUCCUCUUUUCAACGUUUCAGGUUUUCAUUAACGGCGGGAUAUUACUUGGCUACGUCUCGAACUACGGAUUCUCCAAACUACCCCUCCACUUAGGCUGGCGCAUGAUGCUCGGAAUCGGCGCCAUUCCGUCGGUGCUUCCCGCCGUCGGCGCGUUAGCCAUGCCAGAAUCUCCGCGCUGGCUGGUGAUGCAAGGCCGACUCGCCGAUGCAAAGAAAGUUCUCGACAAAACCUCGGACUCGAAAGAGGAGUCUAUGCUCAGACUCGCCGAUAUCAAAGAAGCAGCCGGCAUUCCUGAAGACUGCAACGACGACGUCGUUCAAGUACCGAAAAUCAACCGUGGCGAAGGCGUAUGGAAAGAGCUGCUGGUCCGUCCUACACCGGCUGUUCGUCACAUCAUAGUCGCAGCCGUUGGUAUUCAUUUCUUCCAACAAGCAUCCGGCAUAGACUCUGUCGUUCUGUACAGUCCUAGAAUCUUUGAAAAAGCUGGGAUUACGUCAAAAAACGAGAAGUUACUCGCUACUGUAGCCGUUGGAUUUGUCAAGACCACUUUCAUCCUAGUGGCUACGUUUUUACUCGACAAAAUCGGACGGCGUCCGUUGCUUUUGAGCAGUGUUGCAGGCAUGAUCGCCUCGCUCGCGACCCUUGCUAUCUCUCUCACAGUCAUCGAUCAGUCACACAAAAAGGUGAUCUGGGCCGUCGGUUUGGCCAUCUCAACGGUUUUAUCCUACGUGGCGUUUUUCUCAAUCGGGAUGGGGCCCAUCACGUUGGUUUACAGUUCAGAGAUUCUGCCGUUGAAGCUACGCGCUCAGGGAGCGAGUAUCGGGAUCAUGGUGAACAGGGUAACAAGUGGGGUCGUAUCGAUGACUUUCCUAUCGCUUAGUAAAGCGAUCACGAUUGGCGGCUCCUUCUUUCUAUACGCGUCAAUUGCAUCAGUUGCGUGGGUGUUUUUCUACACGUGUCUCCCCGAAACGCAGGGUAAAACCCUUGAAGAGAUGGGGGCGCUCUUUGGUAAUUUCCGUUGGCUGAGGGAUUCCAAGAGAGAGAAGAGGAGGAACAAAGCCAACGAGAUUAACGGUGACAGUGCGAGUAACGUUCAGUUAGGGCCGGUUUCUAACGGUAACUGAAGGGUAUUUUAGUAAAUACGAUGCUUUUUAAAAUCUUGGUGUAGCUUUGUAAAAUGAAUACUGUGUCGUGGUGUGUGUGUGCUGAUCACUAAUGGGCGAUUGAAGAAGUCAUUAUGCAAUGAAAAUGAAGCACUAUGAAUCAAAUAGAUAUAAUACUUCUUAUAAUUCCUAUCUCUUUAAAAUUUGCGUGAAUGGUUAAAAUUUUGGUUCGCAUUGCAAUGAUGAUUCUAAUGCCUCAAUUGUCAUUCUGGAAUUGAGCAAAAAUGUUAUGCCUAAAACCUUUUGUAAUCGUAUUUAAUUCGAUAGACAUAUUCAAGUUUAUUUAUUUGAUUCGAUUGACAUAAUGUGACUAAAUUUCUAUGUAAGUAGUAACCAAAGAACGUAAUUGUACUUCAAUAACUCUUGUUAUAAUGAUUAAUGAAUUAGUGGAAAUGGAAAAAUAAAUUAUGAGGAAGUGGGAAAGCUCCAAUUAUUGAGGAGAUAGAUAUAUAUGUUGUGAUCAACAAAGUGUCUUUGUGCAUGCAUUUGGGGCUGAAAUUGCCAUGCGCUUGGACACUUCAUUGUUGGUGGUGAAUGGUGAUGGUUAUUUUUCUUUUUUGUUUUGUUUGGAAAUUUUUUCUUAUUUUUUUAAAGAAAUUAUUAUAAUUUUUGCUUGGCUAUGCCCUUUCUUACCUAUAAAUUUUCGUCUUUUUAUAAUAAAAGAGAUUAGUUUAUGUGGUUUAUGUUAUGUGGCUUUUAGAAUAAGUGGUCCAUUCGUGCAUAUGUCGACGGUCGAUUGAAUUGACUACUUAUGAAGUUUAUUUGAAGUAGAAACAAAGAGACCUCGCAAUUUUUAUGCAUGUUGCCUUUUCCUAGUUUAGUUUGUAAAUUCGGGAAUCAUGAUAUAUUGAUAUGGUUAUAAUAAAAUUUCGGACAUGGGCUUUUUACCAAACUAUCAGCUAAAGAAGGAAUGGUCCCCUCCAAAAAAGGCGUAAUUAUUAAUUUAAUUUUUUUCUUGGUGUGUGAAUUGUGAAAUGCGUGAUCAAAACAAGCUGACACUGUAAAUUAAGUAACCUUCUUUGGUUUUUUAGGUAAGACAAUAGUUUUAACUUUGAAGGUUUUCAAUUCCUUGGAAAUUUGUCUUAAUAAAACUUACCCAUAUAAGUUGUGCAUUUUGAAGCGACAUAACAGAAAAAGAUUUCAGUACAUAAUAAGGUCUACAAAGUAACAAGAUUUUCAUUUUUUUUUUUAAAUAAAACAAAUGUACAUGGAACCAUACGACCCUAAUUACCAAAACCAAGAGAUGAAAAUGCAAGAUAUGAGCGCCCGUAAGCGAUCAAAUAAUGAGGCAUUUGAUGUGGUGUUUUCAAUACAUGGAUCAGCGCAUAAUCGGUCUGUGCUGGGAAUUUCAAUCUCAUUCUGACAGAGCACCUGCUUGAUAUCUUGGGAGAUCACGUUUCAGGGACACAUCAUCCUAAUUAUUAUAUACCGUCCAUGCAUUAAUGUUAAUACGCCCAUUGAUGAAUGGUUUUGCAGCUUGAGUAAGACGUUGCAGCUCGAGUAAGACGGUGGCAAUUGGCAAAUCCUACACGUUUUUUUUUUACCCUAUUAUCAUUUAUCACUAGGACGAACACCGACAUCAGACUGGCCUCUUGUCCUAUAAAGGAAAACACUACACUGGAGUAUCUCUAACCAAUACAACGAAAAGGUUCGAUAAAAAAUGUCAUGUCAGUUGUAUCUGUAUGACCAAAUUCACACCUUCUUUCACCUGCUGAUGCAGUAAGCUGUAGAAGUGUGAUUGAUCAAUCGACACUAAAAAUUAUAUCUAUACAAGCCUCACGAUGAAGCCACCAACUAGGUUAAAGCCAACUCAAUUAAGUUAUGCCUAAUAUACAAUCAUUUCCUCAACAUCGAUUUUGUAGCAGGUCUACAAUCUUUUCUGCUGAAAAAAAUACAGUAGAAAUCCUCUGAAAAUUGCAUCUACAUCACAAUAAUUAGCAAAAUAUAAAGCAAUCAUGUACAUUAGCAUAAGAGCUUUGAAAUUUUGUUUCACUUCUCAAUGCCCUGUUGCAGAUACUGAAUCAAGUCAUAGCCAGCAGUAGUCCACUUGUUGUAAGCAUCUGUGCACACAUUCCUCAUGAAAAUUGCAGCCUCACGAUCACUCAUCUCAGGAUGAAACCUCUUGCGAAGAUUUCCAAUAGGAUCACCCCUGCUAAAGCAAGGUAACCCGCUGUCUAGCAUUAACAACACAGUGUUGAUGAUCCCAUCCAUAUAACGGCGAGCAGCUAGAUAACCCUUGAUGCACAAGCUAUUAAUGACACAAAGUAAUGCAGUCAACUUUCAGCUAAAAGUUCAUUCACAAGCGCGCGCGCACACAAAUAAAAUUAAGAAUAAAAGAAUAAAGCUUCAAAAAGAAAUACUUGUACUACCUAACGAAUUGAUUCCAAGUAUCACUCUUCAUCACCCCGGAUGGAUCCAGUAAUUGAGUCAUUUCAUGGCUCAGCUUGAAGUGUGCACUCUCAAAACGCAUGUUUCUACCAGGUGAUGUCUCCAAAAUGAAACCAAAAUCAAUAUGGACCAGCCUCCCGAUGCUACAAUGACAUUAUAACAUGGUUAAAGGUAUGUUUCAGUAUCUUCAUAACAAAUACCAGAAAACUAUAUAAUUUUUCAGAUAUAUCUAUUGAUGGACAACGAAGUAAAGCAAUUGUAAAUAACAGCGACAGUCAUCAGAAUUCACAAAUCUAACUUGAUAAAUUGCGUGGGUGAGAGAGAGAGAGAGAGAUGAUGCCUCAUACUUAUCAAAAAGAAGAUUUCCAUUGUGCCUAUCCUUUGGUUGGAGUAAUAAGCUUGCAACUGCAUAACCAGCGCUGCUAAUGAUAAAAUUCUCUCGUGCAGCUUCAAAACUAGUAGAACCAACAGGUCCAAAGUCCUGUUGGAAAAUCUCAUACAAACCACCAUCAGUUAUUUCGCCCAUUUGACUUCUACUCCGUGUAUUAGGCACAACCUGCAAGAUAAGAAAGCUAGUUAGGAGAAGAAACCUGCGCAUUGUAUACAGAAAGCCUUUUCAAGUUAGAGCCCUUCAUACAUUUGAAUUUCAAAUGUCAAGUGUAAAUUCAGCUAUAAAGACUUCAUUUCCUACCUAAUAAAAAAAAUUUGCAUUGCUUUGGGAAAAAAAAUUAAUUAAUAUCUUAUCCAAGUUAUAUGGUAAAACUAUGAUGUAUAUAUGUUUGGACAGGCUUAAUGACACCCAAAAGCCCAGGUAAAUCGUACAAGAUGGCAGCCAGGCUGUAUCUAAUCAGAAAUAAUGUCUUUUAGAAAUUUGGAACAAUCAACAAAGUGGGCCCUGAUCUGUAUCAAAGCACAUCAUACAAAAUCUUGUAAAAUCCAAAAUACUCCUCAGACUAGAGCACAGAAAUCCCAAACAGAAACUGACAAGAUAUUCCAAUGUCCAUAACUUAUCUAGUAAUUAUUAAUGAGAAAUGUUAAAGUGGUACAAUUACUAAAACAAAAGUGUUGGUUGGUGUGUGGGGGGGUGGCAGGGCAGAUACUUAAGCAUACUUUUCUAUUAAACAAACUCACCUCAAUUAUACCUCUCUCUGGACCAGUUGGGAGAACACCAUAUGGAAACAGAUAGAGAUUAAGUCCGACUGCUUCAAAUAUGUCUCUAAGAAGGGAAAUCACUUGAAGAGCAAGAACAUCUUGUCGACAAUCAUCUCCAACCUUGAAUAAAGAAAAUGUAGUUAAGAUAAAGAUCAAAAAACAGGAAUAUCUAUGAAGUUUGCAAUAUGAUAAAAAUUAAUAUUAAGUCAACAAUCUAAAAAAAGAUCAGGUAGAUGAAACGAAGAAGCAUGUCUUUUGACUUUUGGUUUCUACUUGAAAACACUUAUAUGCCAUAAAUACUGAACAAAAUAGAUAUCACAUAAUUCACAGUUAACCGACAUGUGUGGCUUGGUGAUCUUUCAUUUGCAGGUUCUCAUAUAAGACAUGAAUGUUACAUAAGACAAAAAACUAAUUUUGCUCUAACCCACAAUGAUAUAUAGACAAUGAUAUAUACACACCUUGAAAAUGCAAGCUUGGGGCAUCACAUUGCUUUGAUCACCAUCCCGGUCCACCACAUUAAAUGUGAUCAUAAUAGGAACUUUGGCUGCUGACUGUAAAGGUAUUCCACUAUCCACCCGGAUGCCCCUUACAAGCUUGUUAGGGGCAGUUGGUAGAUAAAGGUCUUCUCCCGCCAUUUCAAUUUUUUCCAACUCCCUGUUAUAGCAAGCAGGUCAACACCAAUUAAAGCUUGCAUUGAGCUACCACUUGACCUAAAAGCUUAACCUUGAAAUAAAGGGCCCAAACAAUAGUAUUUAAGCUUGCUGUAUCAUUCCCCCUCAUAUGCAAGGCUCAUUUGGCCAUGUCGUAUGAAUCCAACAGACCAACACAGGCAGCCCAUUCCACUCUGGGGGAAUUCAAUUUGUGUUCAGGGGGUUUUGAACACAGCAUUAAGGUCAAAUAUGCUCUGAGACAAUGCUGAGUAGAAACCACUUGACCUAAAAGCUUAAGCUUGAAGGUAAGGGCCCAAACAAUAGCAUUUAAUAUUGCUUUAACAGCUUGAACAAGUAAUAAGUAUACCUCCGGAUACCAGCUCGACGUUCUUCCUUGGGAAGCGGAUACAGUGCACCAGAAAUAUUAGUAACUUUGUCAAAGAAGUCAAACUCUCUUUGAAACAAAUCAAGGGCCUUGGGAUUGAAACCAUCAAUAAUACGCUGCCGAACCAUGGGCAACAAUGUUUGAAACGAACCAUUCUGAAAAAACAGCAAGUAGGAAGAGAUAUUGAGCAUGAAUGACAUAUUACAGAAAGGCUUUGAAAAUCCAAUAGAAAUAUUAAGAACGUUUCCACAAAUUUUGCAAGUUAUAGAUGCAAUAGGUGUGGUACAAAACACCACACCUAUUUAUCAAUAUCAUAUAUAAACAUAGAUGUGUGUGAUUUUUUAUUCAGCACUGUGCCCAUAUUAGUCAUAUGCAUCAAAACAUUUUUAACAGUAAAAUUUAUCAAUAAUUUACAAACUCCUCUUAGAACUCACAGUAUUCUAAACAACAAAAUUUACAACACACCUAACCUCUUACCCUCACAAAUGAUAAUUUCUUCAACACAGCUAACAGGAUUAUUCUAAAAUUCAUAGCAUUACCAAACUGGCCCUUACUGAAUUUUGAAUUUAUAGUUAGAUCAUGUGACUCAUCAAAAUAAGAUGUGGAGAAUUUAGCUCCCAUCUAAAAUUAUAAGGGAUUAUAUCUUUCAAAUUUUUAGAGAUUUUAGCCAUAUAUUUCUAAAUACUUUCAAUUUUCUUGGGAAAAUCUGUACAAAAAAUGAUAUAACGAACAUAUUUCUCACAACAAAAGAAAACAAAUCCAUACACAACUUAAUGAAGGAUUUGAAAACUAUAACAUAGAUUAAGAUAUUUCAAUAAGUGGUUUCCAUGGCGUCAUAAUAGAUGUUCUCAUUGUUCAUACGCCAAGGAGUUCUUUUGAUCAUUCAUAAGUCACUUCGAUCGAGACUUAUGCAAAGGUUCAUAUCAUUCACGGACCAAUGGAUUCUUGCUUGAUAUAAAGAGAAGAUGAAUGUACCUUCACAGAGUUAGCAUCUUUCUCUUUCCCAGAUUCUGGUACAAAUGUCUCACCCUGCCAUCCACAAACUCGUGUGUUACAUAUUCUAAUAGAGAAACAGAAAAUAUAAUUUACAUGAAAAGCACAUUCCAUCAAAAUUAACCAAAAGCAUAAUAACUGCAGGCCUUCUAGUCCUAUUAAUAAAUAAAUAUUCUCACACCUGUAGAUGCCAUAUCAGUAUAUGCGCAAAUAUAUCACUUCUUUGAGUUGCUCUAAGCAAAUACCCUUCUACCAAUCUCUGAAAGUUAUGAAGUGGAAAAUAGAUAGAUCAAUAAAUCAUAAUAUAUGCUAAUAGAUAAAGACAGUAGUCAUACAUAUUAUUUGGUCUAAUUUUAGAAUGUCUGUCAAGCCAACCGCAACCAUACCCACUAAAUCAUAGUAUAUGCUCAUAGAUAAUGACAGUAAUCUCGUCUCCAAAAUGUUAUAUAGCAAAUCCAAGAAUUUGCAACUCUUAUGCUGUUGCUAUAAAAAAUUACAAUAGAAAAGUUGAGAAAAUAUCGAAGACCUUACCAAUUAAAUACCCAACUUACUCUAAUCUAUAUCUCCAAAAUGUUAUUAGAGAGAAUUUAAGGAUUUACAACUCUCAUGUUGUUAGAAAAUGUUAUUAUAGAUGAGUUGAGAGAAGAUAGAAGAGUUUGGAAUUUGGAAGUUUUAGGGAGUGUAGUCUAGCACGUCCCUUAUUGGGUAUCAAAGUUUCCUAUUUGCUUAUCCGAACCAUUUAAAUGAUUUUGAGGGCGAGUCUUUUGUUGGGACUUGAAUGAAGAAGAGAUGAACACUAGAGAAAUAAUUCAAAAACCCUCUUUUAUGUGUACAACUCAUUCAUAGAGUGUGAUUGGUUAGAAAAGUAUAGAAACUUCCAAUCACCUCUUUCUUCUAGUGAAUGGUUUCAAGAUUGUGGAAGAGAUAAGUAAAGAGUACUGUUGUGACUCCCUACUACGAAAAUCAUUGGCAUUUGGAAGGGAGAAAAGCUAAAUCUUCCCGAAUGUGCAGUUUAUGCCCUAAUAUGGUGGUAUGAAAUGAAAUAAACAAAUGGAUUUUCAAGUUACAAAAAGAGACAGGAAUUCUGAAAAAUUAACAUCUUGCUCCAGAUAGGACUUCAGAGUUCCAAGGAGUAUUAAGAUUGAUUGUUUAUCUUCAUUUAUCCCAAUUGAGAGGGGAUUUUGGGUUCUAGCUAUUUGGGUUGUUCAGCUUUAACAGUGGUGGAUGGGUAUUUUUGCUGACCAUCCCAGCAUUUCUUUUGACUUUCUUUAUAUAGCUUUAGCUUCCCCAAUAUAGGGUAUUUUUUGUCAUUUGAUGGCCAUCUGGUCCACACCCUACAUAAUAACUGAAUCUUUCAUUAUUACUCCAAAUUUCAGUGCUUCCAAUCAUCAAAAAUAAAUAAAUAAAUAAUGAUUUACACUGGAAUGAGCAUUAUCAGUCCUUUAGAUAAAAACUUAUGAAUGUAAUUCAAUGUCACAGAAGUGGAAUCAUGCCAUUAAAUAAAGAUAGAUCAAGCUCAGAUUGGUCCAAGUUGCUUAACCUCUUGGCACAAUCCAAGGGAAAAUUAACAGUGGAUCAGGAAAUUUCAAAAGCCCAGAUAAUGCAGUAAGGUCUCAAUCAAUUUUCCAGACUCAACACCCCUGCGAUAAUGCACAAAAUAUAGAUAGUAACACACACAUAGAUCAACAUUUUCAUUACAUUACUCACCUCAUCAUCGUAUCGAAGAGCCUGAACUAGCUGUGGCAUGAAGAAAGUAACUCGUUCAGGAGGAUAAGACUCCAAGACCCUAAGUAUAUAGGCCAUGACACGUGGAUGACCCUUAUAUGCUGGAGUAAGGAACUCAAGGGCUUGUGUGAUUGAACAAGCUGCCCAGUGUGGCAAUUGUUGCAGAAGAGCUGAAUCUUC
rnacentral:lncRNA from 1 species